CCUAGCGAGAAGGGAAGAGGGGUGUUACCAGCACGAAAGCAUUGUCCCACUGUCGCCCAUUUGGUGGUGGCCUCAGGAGGCUCAGGGCGGGGCAGGGAAGCCUUCCUCCAACCCUUGCAUUCAGGAACCAUCAGAAAAUCCCAGACGCAGGCUGGGCGUGUUGUCCUACAACUUUUAUGAACUCUUUUUUAACGAAUUUGCCUGAUUUCUAAGGGCCCUGGUCUGGACAGCCAGUGCAAUUUUCACUUGGGAGAGGAAGGAUGGUCCAUUCCUGGGAGGGAGGAGGGGGAUCCUGGUACCUGAGGAAGGAGGGCAGCGUGCUCAGGGGUCACCCAGGGCCUGCUGGCCGACCUGAGCCCCAGGGCCGCUGAGCAAGCUCGGGUAGUGGGCAGGGCUUGGCAGCACCACCCACCUUGCCCGGAAAAUGCUUCACAGGCUACCGGAAGGCUGUGGCCACAGCCAAGCUACUCAGCAGCCCUGCUGCGCUGGUCCUCCUGGGACAUGGCAUCAUCCACGGUGCCUGGCCCCUCGGCUGGUCCCCAUUUCCCAUACCCUUCACUUUCCGUGUCUAGCUGGGUGAAAAUGAAAAAUGCACCCUCACCCCAUUUCCAAGGGGCGCCCAGGGGGCAGAACUGCUUCUACUGAGAACCAUGCAUCUCCCCAAGGUUCAGAGAAGCCAAGUGACCUGAGUCACACAACUGUGACAGGCAGAGCUGCCACUGGACUGGUGGCAAUGGUAGAAACCAUCACAAUCAGGCAGCUGCCACCCCCUGAGCUUUUACUAUGUGCCACAAGCCCCAGGCAAAGGCUGCGGGUGCCUUGCUCUGUUCCUUCCGCUCACCCCUCCAGGGCACGCCGACCUGGCAGCUUCCACCUGUAGGGUGGAAAGCCUCCAAAGCCUGCCUGGCCCCCAGGCUGCAAGUGUAGGCAGAGCCCAUGUCUCCCCAGAGCUGCCUUCCAACCAGUGAUGACCAGGAAGGCGGGGGGCCAAUACCCCAGCUCCUGCACCCCGCAGCUGAGUCUCCACCUACCCUGGCCCCCAGAGUUCCUGAGCAGUACUGAGCUCAGGGCUGCAGUGGUGACCUACUGGAUGACAGAACCCUUUCCUGUCUCACCAACCCAUUCCCGAAUGGUAGUUCUGGGAUCACCUCCCGAAUACACGACUUGCACUUGAACCUUGGUCCCAGGGUCUGCUCCCGGGAGAGCAGACCUGAGACAGAGCAGUACCUAUAUCAUGUCAUUCAGCCCUCCUAAAACUCCGGGAACGACACAUUAUUAUGAGUCCAGUUUACAGACAAAGACACUAAGGUUCAGACACGGUAAGUAACUUGUCCAGGAUGCUCAGUUCUCCAGGCUUUCGUUCCCCUGGAGAUUUUCAACACUGCCUAAUUUCAUACCUCCUGCAUGCCAGGUCCUGAGCUGGGUGCUGGAGACCCCGCGAUAAAUGCGGCCAUGCUUCUGAGACACAAUCUGGUGAGCAAUCGCAGCCCAAGGUAACACACCCUACAGGAGGGAGCACAGGGGACCAAUGGAGCCCAGAGCCCGGGCAAGGCUGUGCACGAAGAGCACGCCAGGUAGGGGGCAGGCUUGUGACAAAGGCACAGCAGGCCCUAGAGCCCCCUAGAGUUUGGUAUGGGGUAGGAAGCAAGAAGGCAAACCAUGGUAGACACACAGCUGGAGAGGGGAGGAGGGGCCAGGUCAGCCACGUUUCUUGUGCUAUCUGCCAGAUUCACCUUCUAGAGGCCAGCUGGGGACACAACCCUUCACUGCUGAGACCCUCCCUGGCUCCCACUGAUGACACGGGCCAAGUUCUUGUGUCCUGGGGCCCCAACCCACUCCCCACUGGACCUGGCAUGAGGCGGAAGCCAGGGCUGAGACCAGAGCACUGAGCAUCGCUUCACUUGAAAAAGAGCUCGUUUAAAGAAAACAAGGACACAAAUGAGAAUUCAGACAAUAGAGAAGAAAUUGCUGCCGGUGUCAUAGGGGGUUUCGGAAACCCCGAUCAGGGCUGGUCCCACUCCUUCCACGAAGAGCCCAGACAGGCCGGGGACCUGCCCUAAGUCACAGAACAAGGCAUCCUGGAGAUGCUGCAGCUUGCAGAAUCCAAAGCAGUGGGCUCUCCGGCCUUCUAACAUCAUUACAGCACGACAAUUCAUUAGCCGUUGGCUUUUUUUUUUUUUUUCCCCUUCUUUCUUUCCGAAACUGUAACCUUUCAUUCCAGGCUACUCCCGAGAGCUGGAGAGAGGGAGUGGCCGGCUGACUCAUUUCUGUCAUUAAAGAAUGACAGCUGGGCACUGGAUCCAUUUUAAGAA